GGUUCCUCAGCAUGAACGUACGGGUUGCGCGGGCUGCGUGGGCCUGGGGCCGGGGCGUGAGCUGUCGCCGCGGCGCCUCGAGCUUCCUGCUGCCUCCCCCGGGCGCGGUGGACGUGGAGGAGCUGCUGCGAGAUGCGACAGCGGCGGAGGAAGGGCCCCGGGAGGCCUCGGUGCGGCGGUUGCCGGGCCAGUGCUCGGUGCUACUCUUCCCCGGCCAGGGCAGCCAGGUGGUGGGCAUGGGCCGCGGUCUGCUCCGCUACCCGCGCGUCCGCGAGCUCUACGCCGCCGCCCACCGCGUGCUGGGCUACGACUUGCUGGAGCUGAGCCUGCAUGGGCCGCAGGAGGCCCUGGACCGCACCGUACACUGCCAGCCCGCCGUUUUCGUGGCUUCGCUGGCCGCCGUCGAGAAACUGCAUCACCUGCAGCCCGCGGUUAUUGAGAACUGUGUUGCUGCUGCUGGAUUCAGUGUGGGAGAAUUUGCAGCCCUAGUGUUUGCUGGAGCCAUGGAAUUUUGUGAAGGUUUGUAUGCAGUGAAAAUCCGAGCUGAGGCCAUGCAGGAAGCCUCGGAAGCUGUCCCCAGUGGGAUGUUGUCUGUCGUCGGCCAGCCUCAGUCCAAGUUCACCUUUGCCUGUCUGGAGGCCCAGGAGCACUGCAGGACUUUGGGCAUAGAGAACCCCGUGUGCGAGGUGUCCAGCUACCUCUUUCCCGACUGCAGGGUGAUCUCAGGACACCUGGAGGCUCUGCAGUUUCUCCAGAAGAAUUCCUCCAGGUAUCACUUCAGACGCACCAAGAUGUUGCCGGUUAGCGGUGGCUUCCACACCAGCCUCAUGGAGCCAGCUUUGGAGCCCCUGGCACAAGUUUUAAAGGCAAUUGAUGUCAGGAAGCCUCUGGUGUCCGUCCACUCAAACGUUAACGGCAGUAGAUACACGCAUCCAGAACACAUCCGGAAACUGCUGGUCCGGCAGGUGGUCUCCCCGGUGAAGUGGGAGCAGACGAUGCACGCCGUAUAUGAGAGGAAGAAAGGCACCGAGUUCCCCAAAACUUUUGAAGUAGGACCUGGGAAGCAGCUGGGAACCAUCCUGAAGAGCUGUAACCUGCAGGCCUGGAGGUCCUACAGUCACGUGGAGGUGCAGGAGGCUGACGAGGACCUGCACUAGAACCUGUAGGGGCCUCCCGAGGACCUUGGCGUGGAGGGCGCGUGGCUGAGGAGGCCGAAGGGGCUCCAGUGGGCCGAGCCCAGCCAGGCCACCGCCUGCACGUGAUCGGGAGGGAUUGUUUGCAGAGUGCUUUGAGCGCCACAUAAAAAGCACUGAAAACGAGUAUUUCUUUACAUGACACAGUCCAUUUCUCCCCCCUUGAAACACGUUCGAGUGCCGGGGAGAGAUGCAGCCGUGACGGUUCUGUGAAGACUGAGUCCAGCCUCCGUCAGGACUCAGGGUUGGAACCGGGAAGGGCUUGUCACACACAUACGUGGGAGGAGCUACAUUAAAUCUGGCUUCAACCCCAGGACACACCCUUGGCCGCAGUUUAAGGUCACAGUCUGGCUGGAGUUGCUCAGGGCUGACUGGGCUCCAGGUCCCCAGCGCCUGACCCGAUGAGCUCCGGAAUGUCAGCGGAAAGAACGAUGCAAGACCAGCGCCCUCUUCUCCUCCCCACCUGGGCAGGUUGGCCCCGCACAAAUGGAAGGAGCUGGGGCCUCUGGGUAGCGUGGAAAGAAGUCACGAUUAGCUGUGAGUGACAAGAGCAAGCUAAGGACCUGCUGUUUAUGCAGAUGUUGACUUCUCACUGCUUACACAGUAUUUAUGAAUGGAAACGCUGCAGCAAAGGGGCCCUGGGCUGGGUGCACACCUGGGUUCUGCUCCAGCUUGGCUGUGCUACUCUGGACAAAUUCCUUAGCCCCUCUGGACCCCUAAUUCUUCACUUGUAAAACAAGCACUGGGGACAGAUUCUUUUCUGUCCUUUCCUGCUCAAAUAUCCAUUAAAAAAACAAACAAACUGUAGAGAAAGUGUAAAAGAUUAAUAAUUCUCUUGACAACUAAUUUUGAAAUGGUUUUCAACCAGUUUGCUGAGGUCUGAAAGUUUCUGUCCCGCCCCAAAUUCCUCAGUUGAAAACCUAAUGCCCAGUAAUGGGAAAAGGAGGUGGGGCCGCUGGGAGGCAAACAGAUCAUGAGGGCUCUGCUAGUGGGUUUCGUCUCUUCUAAAUGAGGCCCAGGAGAGCUCCCUUCCCCAUCCUCCACUGAGGAUACAGGAAGUCUGGGGCACCCUGACCUUGGACUUCCAGAAUCCAGAACUGUGAGAAAUAAAUGUCUGUGGCUUAUGAACCGUC